GGUCGGGCCCGGUGCGCGGGCGGGCACGUGAACCGGGUCAGGCCUUGACCGGAGCAGCCCUAAGCGUCGUCCGCCCGGCGCCGCCGGUGUUCUGACCGUC
rnacentral:SRP_RNA from 2 species